rnacentral:lncRNA from 1 species
CUCUUUCCAAGCUUCCACCAACUCAAGACUAUGGUGUGUAACAGACUUGGCUGAACGAUCCUAACAACAUCAAAUGCUUCUAGCCCAACAGAGCCAACACCUAAAACUUGUGAUCCAUGAACCAGCAACAUCAGCACCAAUUGGGAGUUUGUUACUAGAUGCAGAAUCUCAGGCCAGCCCAGACCUACUGAGUAAGGAUCUGCAUUUUAACAGAUCCCCAGGCUGCUGGCCCUGCUACAUUCCUGCAUUGGCCUUAGCUGAUCACCACUUUCUUCGAGGUCUGCACCUUGGCCGAGAGAGGAGCAGCGAAUUCCCUGUCCUCCCUCACCCUGCGUCCUGAGCCAUCUCCCAACUCCUCAAAGCCCCUGGAGACCAUGCUUCAACCAGACGCAGGCCAUUCUCCCCCAUUUCCAUUCUGAAACCACUCACUCCAGGCCUUUCUUCACCUUGGAGUCUUGGCCCAAUAAAA